GACGAACGCUGGCGGCGUGCUUAACACAUGCAAGUCGAACGCUGAAGCUCAGCUUGCUGGGUGGAUGAGUGGCGAACGGGUGAGUAACACGUGAGUAACCUGCCCUCUUCUUUGGGAUAACGCCCGGAAACGGGUGCUAAUACUGGAUAUUCACUGAUUCUCGCAUGGGGGUUGGUGGAAAGGUUUUUUCUGGUGGGGGAUGGGCUCGCGGCCUAUCAGCUUGUUGGUGGGGUGAUGGCCUACCAAGGCUUUGACGGGUAGCCGGCCUGAGAGGGUGACCGGUCACAUUGGGACUGAGAUACGGCCCAGACUCCUACGGGAGGCAGCAGUGGGGAAUAUUGCACAAUGGGCGAAAGCCUGAUGCAGCGACGCCGCGUGAGGGAUGGAGGCCUUCGGGUUGCAAACCUCUUUCGCUCAUGGUCAAGCCGCAGCUUUGGGUUGUGGUGAGGGUAGUGGGUAAAGAAGCGCCGGCUAACUACGUG
rnacentral:rRNA from 1 species